rnacentral:rRNA from 1 species
UGGGGAAUAUUGGACAAUGGGCGAAAGCCUGAUCCAGCAACGCCGCGUGGGUGAUGAAGGCCUUCGGGUCGUAAAGCCCUGUCAGCAGGGAAGAAACCUCUUUGUCCUAACAUGACAAAGAAUUGACGGUACCUGCGGAGGAAGCACCGGCUAACUCCGUGCCAGCAGCCGCGGUAAAACGGAGGGUGCAAGCGUUGUUCGGAAUUACUGGGCGUAAAGCGCGUGCAGGUGGUUUUUUAAGUUCUGUGUGAAAUCCCUCGGCUCAACCGAGGAACGGCGCAGAAUACUGAAGAACUUGAAUACGGGAGAAGUGGGCGGAAUUCCCAGUGUAGAGGUGAAAUUCGUAGAUAUUGGGAGGAACACCGGUGGCGAAAGCGGCUCACUAGACCGAUAUUGACGCUCAUACGCGAGAGCAUGGGUAGCAAACAG